rnacentral:rRNA from 1 species
AUGAAAGCAAAUAGCAAGUUAGCGACACCAGAUGACUAUGAUCGGGUGAUAUCCGCAGAGAUACCUGACAAAGAGAAACACCCCGUCCUACAUGAGCUGGUCGUCAAACACAUGCUGCACGGACCCUGUGGUGAAUUGAAAAAAAGUUGUCCUUGCAUGAUUGAUGGACAGUGUAGGUUUCAUUAUCCGCGAGAUUUUUGUGAUGCCACACAACAAGGUAAAGACUCUUAUCCCAUCUAUCAGAGGAGGGACGAUGGGCGUGGAGUUAGGAUCAGAGGAGCAAAUUUGGACAAUAGAUGGGUGGUCCCUUACAACCCUUCUCUGCUUAUGCAAUACAACUGCCACAUUAAUGUGGAAGCAUGCUCGAGCAUCAAGGCAGUCAAGUAUUUGUUCAAGUACAUCUAUAAAGGCCAUGAUCGGGCGUCCUUUGCAUUCGAGCAGGACAUCAUCAAUGAUGGUGGAAUCAUCAAUGAAAUCAGGCAAUACAGGGAUGCACGCUAUGUAUAUCCUCCGGAGGCUAUUUACAGGAUUUUUGGUUUCAAAAUGUUUGAUGUCAGUCCAUCAGUGCUACAGCUCCAGCUUCAUUUGCCGAACAUGCAUACAAUUGCAUUUAAAGCUGGUGAAAAUCUAGAAGAUGUUGUUGCUCGAGCAUCUUCAUCCAGGUCCAUGCUUACCGAGUACUUUGAGAUGAACCGGAGAAAUCCGCAAGCACGGAAAUUGUUGUACAGAGAGUUUCCAGAGCAUUAUAGAUGGAUAGCUGGAAAAAAGAAGUGGCAGAAGAGAAGAAAUAACAGAUCACAUAUUGGAAGACUUGUCUAUGCACACCCUGCUGAAGGAGAGAGGUACUACUUGCGUGUACUUCUAAGUCAUCUCCGAGGUGCCACUUCAUUUGAUGAUUUAAAAACAGUAAAUGGCAACCUAUGCACUUCCUUCAGAGAGACAUGUGAGCACCUAGGCCUCAUUGAGCACGACAAGACUCUUGAUGAUUGCAUGACAGAGGUAGCCACAUUUCAGAUGCCUUGUACCCUAAGACGGUUGUUUGCGACUAUAUUAGUAUUUUGCGAGGCAACAGAAAUCCCACAAUUGUGGGAUAAACAUCUACCAUCAAUGUGUGAGGACUACCGCCGUAAUGAAUCCAACGAAUCAGUACUUGAGCAGAUGGAGAUAUUAGGGAUAUGUUGCAAUCCAUGGGAAAGGAUAUUAAGAGCUAUGGACUUCCGGAUCUGGUUGAGACCGAUGGUUCUUAUGACAGUGAGUACAGAGAGGUAA